rnacentral:misc_RNA from 1 species
AAAGUCGUAACAAGGUUUCCGUAGGUGAACCUGCGGAAGGAUCAUUAGUGAAUAACCCUCUUUAUUGAGAACCGGGAUAGUAGCCUCCGGGCGAAUUCCCUUCACAUCCAUAACACCUGUGAAAUGUCUUGUCAGGCCCAGUCGCUCUGUGCGCUGGUCUUGUCAAACUUACAAACUUACUCUGUAAAAAAUGUCGAAUUAUUAUAAUCUAAUAAAACUUUUAACAACGGAUCUCUUGGCUCUC